GGAGGGGUGCCUGAGCGGUUGAAAGGGCUGGUCUUGAAAACCAGUAGACCAGGAAUGGUCUCGCGAGUUCGAAUCUCGCCCCCUCCG
rnacentral:tRNA from 1 species